rnacentral:rRNA from 1 species
UACGAAGGGGGCUAGCGUUGCUCGGAAUUACUGGGCGUAAAGCGCACGUAGGCGGCUUUCUAAGUCGGGGGUGAAAUCCUGGAGCUCAACUCCAGAAUUGCCUUCGAUACUGGAGAGCUCGAGUCCGGGAGAGGUGAGUGGAACUGCGAGUGUAGAGGUGAAAUUCGUAGAUAUUCGCAAGAACACCAAUGGCGAAGGCAAUGUUCUGGCUCGUUUCUGACGCUCAGGUGCGAAAGCCAGGGGAGCGAACGGG